GCCUGAUUGGCUCAGUUGGUAGAGCAUGUGACUUUCAAUCUCCAAGUUGUGAGUUAAAGCCCCACAUUGGGUG
rnacentral:tRNA from 1 species